rnacentral:rRNA from 1 species
UAAGGAAUAUUGGUCAAUGGACGCAAGUCUGAACCAGCCAUGCCGCGUGAAGGAUGAAGGUCCUCUGGAUUGUAAACUUCUUUUAUCUGGGAAGAAAUCCACGGUUUCGACUGUGGUUGACGGUACCAGAUGAAUAAGCACCGGCUAACUCCGUGCCAGCAGCCGCGGUAAUACGGAGGGUGCAAGCGUUAUCCGGAUUCACUGGGUUUAAAGGGUGCGUAGGCGGGCAGGUAAGUCAGUGGUGAAAUCUCCGGGCUUAACCCGGAAACUGCCGUUGAUACUAGCUGUCUUGAAUGCCGUGGAGGUGAGCGGAAUAUGUCAUGUAGCGGUGAAAUGCUUAGAUAUGACAUAGAACACCGAUUGCGAAGGCAGCUCGCUACACGGUUAUUGACGCUGAGGCACGAAAGCGUGGGGAUCAAACA